AAAAUCAAUACGUAUUCGGAAUCAAAAUUACACGACUUACGAAAGUACACACACACGCGCACACAUACACAACAAAAGAAAUACACCAUGAUAAACCAUACUGAACGGUCAACUUUGAAACAUACGGAUAAUACGAUGUUCUCUCAAUUUUCAUGACAUAUACCUACACCUGUUGAAUCCCCUAUUUUUUAACACGUUCAUCCAUUUUUAUCAAAAAUAAAUUACAUCACAUUUACGUUUGUGAGAAUUAAAAUCAAUCCAACUAAUAUUGAUUUGUCUUUACGAACGUUUAAUUAAUUGACUACGAGUUCAUACCAUGUUUGAAGAAGCUCAUUGAUUACUUUGUUGGUUUUUGUCAACCUAUGGCAGGAACCCUUCUAAUUGUACAAUUUUCUGAUUAAAGGACAAUUAAGAGAUUGAAUUUUCCACAAACGCAUAAACAUCCGCAGACGAACGAUUACUAGAACACCCUGUAUAUAAUCCUGUAGAGUUCUCAGGUAUAAAAUCACGUUCAAUUCGGGCGUCCAGCGUAUUCGUAAGAAUACGUCUAAACCUAUCGUCAGUGGAGCAGAUCGAAGUAAAGGCCAGAAGAACAGAGUUGGGCCACGGCGAUUUCGUUCAGGCCGAGAUUCCUCGACACGCUUUCUGCUUUUUUUCACGGCGCGCGGAUCCUUAGCAGGAAGGAUCGAACUUACACGCAGGCGCGCGUACAUAUAUUCUUUUCUAAGAGAUUCGCUUCGAUUAAUGCGCUGUCGAUGACACUAUUUUUGCACGUCGUGCACGCGACGACAUCGCGGAAACGCGUUCAUCCGGCUCCGGCUCGAUUCCAUUUGAAAAUUUUUCCAUUGUACCAGAGAAGGAUAUGUAUAUCGCGUUUUGUCCUGCAAAACGGUCGACACCGACGCGUGGCGUUGUGACGCCAUAAUAUUGACCCAGUUUUUCUAGGCAACCGCGGGCUGCCAUGAAUGUGUCAUGCGAUCAUUUCGAGCUGAUGCGCUCGCAGCCCUGGCGCAUGAAUUUUUUACGCCGACCAGCUUUUUCAUCGCGCUCGUGGAAACGAGGAAGGCGGUCCUCGUUCCGGAUGGAAAAUUGGAGGGAAGAACGCUUGUGUAUUUCGCGUUGCUUUCGAGAGAUUUACGAAGUACUUAAGCAUUCCGGUGAACGAGUAAAAAUGAAAAAUAAAUUAUUCAGUUGUCCGUAACUUGAAUACUGUAUGUACUAAAAUUGAAAAAUAUCGUAUAUCGCGUGUUGCUUUCGAGACAUUUACGAAGUACUUACAGCGAGUCAGAUGAAUAUUCGUACGCCUUUUAAAACCAAAUAAAUUGUUUAAAAUUUUCGUUUAGAAGAUGGACGCGUUGGUUUAUUAGUUUUUUUUUUUCAAAAGUUUUUGAAAAAGUUGCAUUUAGUCGGAAUCGCGAAGAAGAAAGUGAAAGUCGUUUUCUACGACUUUUUUAUCUGGCCCUGUAGUGAAAAAUUUAAACAAUACAUUUUAGAGAUUUUUACCUAUGCCAAUUACAUAUUGAAAUUAUAUAUGCCGAAAUAUAUAUAAUAAUUAUAUAUACCGAAAAUUGUAUCGAAAUCGGAUUCUGCGGAAACGCGCUGCAGGUAUCGAAAGACGUAACAAUCUUUAGAUUUAUUACAGUUACAGGCCGAAUGCGGCGAAAAACUGCGAUUUUCAGCAUCUUUAACUCAUGUUUGUAGCUCGUAACAAAGUCAAGCGAUUUCCAUGAAAUUUUCAACACGUAGCUUAAAUUUUCAUUACAGGCCCAAAUGAAAAUUUGUAAGACGUAACGUUUAUCUUUUCUUCGGACCAGUUGCAAUUUUUUCAACAAAUUUUUAAGCGUCAUCUAGUAAACUAGUGUUCCUAAUUUCUAAAAAAGAAAAAAAAUCAAAUCGUUUAGCCCAAUUUUAAACAAGUUAUUCGAUUUUAAAGGAUGUACAAAUAUUCAAAUGACUCAGUGUAGAUAUUUUGGUGAACGAGAAAAGAAGAAAAUAAAUUUUUCAGUUGUCGGUAUUGCUAAAAUUGAAAAAUAUUGGAAAAUUCUUUUUAAGAUCACCAUAUAUCACGUGUACACGUGAAUGAAUCUAUCAAGCUGAUUAAUGGCUUAAUAUCGUGAAAGAUUUGUAGAAAAAAAUAUUUGUAAAGUUAUAUAGCACAUUUUGCGGUCGUGGGUUUUUCGUUUCUGAAAGAUUCUCGUAAAUAAUCAGGGUAUCGUAACAUCGAGAACACGAUUUCUUUAAAAAUUAUAUUUAAAAAUAUACGCUGAGAUAUGAUUUAACAUUUCCCGGUGUCUAAGUUCUUUCCAUUUAACUUUAUUUUAAUCUAAAUCGAUCAUAGGAGUCAUCGAGACGUCAAUUUUAAUCUUAGUAUAUCGUUGUUACACCAGUAGACAACGAAGAAGCAGAACGAGAGAAAUCUAUUUUAUCAUAACCAUAGGCAUCAAAAAUUUUCCAACCAAAGGAAAGUUCAGUUAUCUUAAUUUGACUUAUGUCGUAGGAAGUUGAAUUACCAACUAUAGUAAUCUCCAAAAUUUCAUUACUAUGUCGUCCGAAUCAUUUUACUUAAGAGGAAGAAAUAUAAAAAGACAUUAACUAAACAAGAUUAUUAAUAUUCGUGAUUUCUCCUUUAAACAUAAAAAGAUAUAAAAAAAUCGAAGAUCAUAGCAUAAUUAAAGAUCGAUAAUGUAAACAUCAAGUUUAGCCGAUGUUAAAUUAAUGUUCAUUUCCUUUUCUAUCGAACCCGAACUACUCUAUCUAUGGAAUUAAUUAACGAUCGCACGACUACUUCGUGUUUUCUGCAUGAGAUUAGACUGAAAGGAAAUUUCUAUUUGAAAAUCUCAGGAUUAAACUUCAACUUGGGAUGAUGUUAGAUCAAUGCUAAUUACAUCAUCUAAUACCAUAAAGCAUGUAUUCUCUUUGUUCUAUCACGAACAAUGCAAUCCAAACGAACCUACUUCAAUUAAUUAAGAAUUAAUUAGCCAUCCAUGUUACGUUUCCACUGUCAGUGUGCAGGGAAUGAAAAUCGAAGACCACAUUGGCAAGAGCAUAAGUAGAUAUUAAUAAGACAACUAAGCUUUUAAUAUUUCGAUUUUUAGAUCGCUUAAUAAUACUAAUUAUAAAUAUAUCGUUAAUAAAAUCAAGAUAACACAAUAAUUAAACUAAUAUCGUUCGUUUCUUACAAAAUAUUGCGCAUUUAUAGUUAAAUGUUGUAAACGUUGUGAAAAUUUCUUUCAUGCAAUUUUAUCUUAUUCGAUUAUUUCCAAUGCCUCUUCUUAGUCAUCAAGUGACGCAAAGAUCAACAAAUUAACAACGAUAGACUUGUCGUACUUUUGCCGUGUGGUCUCCGUUUGAAAAUCAUGCAACAAGGCGAUACGAGCGGAUUUGCGACGACGAUCAAUAUCGUUAAUCCUUAAUCCAAGCCAUAAACAGCGAGUACGAGGCAAAAUGAUAAUCAUCGAACAGCCGUUUCGUUUAUGCAAUCAUGCAAAUUGAUUAGAUAACGUAGCGUUCUAGAGGAAGAUCGAAGCCGAAUCCUCCAGCUAUUUCGUAAUAUUCUCCUGAAGGUAGCAGCAUCUGGACGAAGAAACGACGGAAUAAUGAUUUUUUCUAUACGCACCUUCACACAGAGGCGAUCUGCCAAAAAUAUACGAUACAUGCGAUAUAUCGAUUUGAUAGGAACGGAGAUUGACACCAACAACUCGGACGAAAGCUCGUUAUUUCGGGCCUGUAGAUGUCGUAUACAUAGAGCUGUUAGACGUAUUAAAAAUUACAUCGUCGUCGAUUGCUUUUUCGAGUGCGACAUUGAAGAAGAGCGUAUUAAUCAUCCAACGGGGCAAUAAAGACGUUAAUGAAGAACGAUGCAUUACGUGCACCGAUAUCGUGGUUUCCAAGUUUUCCUGUUAGCCUUGCUACGUUUUUACGUCAUUUUCAAUUCAAUGUUUCGCUAUUCUAUAUCGUUAGAAGAUUUCUUCAAAUUUGUACAAACUAUGAAAGGAUCAUCGUUUUUGCAAGGUUGAAAACACUGAAAUAUCAGGAUACAGAGAGCAAAGCAAAAACGAGAAAGGAGCAUCGAUUUUCUGAAUUCUGUGUCAAGUUGGCAACACACUGCGAGGAUCUCGCGCGAGUUUUCUUCUCCCCUCUGACAUUAUAGGUUCUCUCAUUGUGCCGCUGGAACGUAUAUACCUGAAUUUCCAAAAGGGCUGGAAGGGCGUAGCCCAAAUACCAACCAGAUGAUACCCUCGAUUGUUCACCGUCAUGAUACCAUCGUGUAAAGCUUUUCCCAAAAACAUAUUUCUCGUUGAAUUUUCUCGCAUACAUCGCCAUUGAGAUUCAUUAAUCGGUCGAUAAUUAGUCAUCUCGAAAUAAUUAGAAAAAUAGUAGAAAAAGCUUGGCCUUUAAACUAGAGAGAUAAAAGGGGAUAGAUAACAAAGAAGAUUUUACUUAUUCGCGUUCAAAAAACGAGGAAUUAGAGUUGUAUGAACAGUUGUUUGUAAGAAGCCAAUAAUUCUCAAACAAUAGCUUUCAGUAACUAUCAGUUUCCAAGUGAUAAGAAAACAUCAUUGAGAAGAUUAGAUUCUUCAUAAUAAUACAAACUAAUGUGUUUACAAUUAAUAGAUCUGGAGGAAAAUAUUUAUUGAUAUCUGAGAAAUCAUGAUUAGAAAUCUACAGACUCACAAUGGAAAUCUGCCUUUUGUAAAGAAACUAAGUUUCAUGGUAUGAUAAUUUGGAACAAAACGGCAAACAGUAUUUGUAUAAAGUUGUAAAUGUUCUUGAUCGUAAGUGCUGUGUAAUUGAAGAACUUCACACAGAGCUCUUAGUUACUUACUCAAGCUAUUAGAAAAGAAUCUGAAUAUACAACCAAUGAAAAAAUCAUUCGUAUAAGCAGACACUAUUUUUAAUCAUAGACAUUGCAUAAGUCUCUUGUCAAAGAAAAGAGACUGUGUCGAUUGAACUUCUUUAUUGCCAGUAAUGUUUUACACGAUACAGUUAGAUAUAACUAGAAAAGAUCUUGAACGAAUUUAAUAGCAAUUAUACAGACUUAAUAUCUUGUAAUAUGAUUUUAAACCACUUAGUGGAUUUAGAUUUUAUUCUUCUGUACCUUAAUAACAUAAAACUCCAUGAAUUAAUAAAGUUCUAUAUAAUAUUAUUGUA